rnacentral:rRNA from 1 species
AACGGGAGUAUAUUGGAAUGAGGAUUCGUCUGAAGGAAAAUGUAUCUUAGUGGCGGACGGGUGAGUAACGCGUGGGCAACCUACCGUAUACAGGGGGAUAACACUUAGAAAUAGGUGCUAAUACCGACAUAAGCGCACAGCAGUGCAUACUGGAGUGUGAAAAGCCGAGACGGUAUACGAUGGGCCCGCGUCUGAUUAGCCAGUUGGCAGGGUAACGGCCUACCAAAGCGACGAUCAGUAGCCGGCCUGAGAGGGCGGACGACCACAUUGGGACUGAGACACGGCCCAGACUCCUACGGGAGGCAGCAGUGGGGGAUAUUGCACAAUGGGGGGAACCCUGAUGCAGCGACGCCGCGUGAGUGAAGAAGUAAUUCGUUAUGUAAAGCUCUAUCAGCAGGGAAGAAUAAAUGACGGUACCUGAGUAAGAAGCCCCGGCUAACUACGUG